rnacentral:rRNA from 1 species
AGAGUUUGAUCCUGGCUCAGGACGAACGCUGGCGGCGUGCUUAACACAUGCAAGUCGAACGCUGAAGCCUGGUGCUUGCACCGGGUGGAUGAGUGGCGAACGGGUGAGUAAUACGUGAGUGACCUGCCUUUGACUCUGGGAUAAGCCUGGGAAACUGGGUCUAAUACCGGAUGCGACUACUGCCCGCAUGGGCUGGUGGUGGAAAGGGUUAUGUACUGGUCUUAGAUGGGCUCACGGCCUAUCAGCUGGUUGGUGGGGUAAUGGCCUACCAAGGCGACGACGGGUAGCCGGCCUGAGAGGGUGACCGGCCACACUGGGACUGAGACACGGCCCAGACUCCUACGGGAGGCAGCAGUGGGGAAUAUUGCACAAUGGGCGCAAGCCUGAUGCAGCGACGCCGCGUGAGGGAUGACGGCCUUCGGGUUGUAAACCUCUUUCAGCAGGGAAGAAGCGGAAGUGACGGUACCUGCAGAAGAAGCGCCGGCUAACUACGUGCCAGCAGCCGCGGUAAU